rnacentral:rRNA from 1 species
AUUGAACGCUGGCGGCAGGCCUAACACAUGCAAGUCGAACGAGCGGCGGACGGGUGAGUAAUGUAUGGGGACUGCCCGUUAGCGGGGGAUAACUACUGGAAACGGUAGCUAAUACCGCAUACUAUCGGAUAACCCAUAUGGGAUAAGCUAGUUGGUGAGGUAAUGGCUCACCAAGGCGACGAUCCCUAGCUGGUCUGAGAGGAUGAUCAGCCACCUGGGGACUGAGACACGGCCAAGACGCCUACGGAGGCAGCAGUGGGGAAUAUUGCACAAUGGGCGAAAGCAUGAUGCAGCCAUGCGGCGUGUAUGAAGAAGGCCCUAGGGUUGUAAAGUACUUUCAGUCGGGAGGCGUUACCGACAGAAGAAGCACCGGCUAACUCCGUGCCAGCAGCCGCGGUAAUAC